UACGGAGGGUGCAAGCGUUGUUCGGAUUCACUGGGUAUAAAGGGUGCGCAGGCGGCCUGAUAAGUCAGGGGUGAAAUAUGACGGCUCAACCGUCAAACUGCCUCUGAAACUGCCAGGCUUGAGUCCGGGAGAGGUAGGUGGAAUUCCAGGUGUAGCGGUGAAAUGCGUAAAUAUCUGGAGGAACACCGGUGGCGAAGGCGGCCUACUGGCCCGGAACUGACGCUCAGGCACGAAAGCAUGGGGAGCGAACGGGAUUAGAUACCCCGGUAGUCCAUGCCGUAAACGAUGGGUACUAGGUGUUGGAGGAUUCUACCCCUUCAGUGCCGCAGCUAACGCAUUAAGUACCCCACCUGGGGAGUACGAUCGCAAGGUUGAAACUCAAAGGAAUUGACGGGGGCCCGCACAAGCGGUGGAGCAUGUGGUUUAAUUCGACGCAACGCGAAGAACCUUACCUGGGCUUGACAUACAGGGGACAGGUGUAGAAAUACAUCCUUCUUCGGACUCCUGUACAGGUGCUGCAUGGCUGUCGUCAGCUCGUGUCGUGAAAUGUUAGGUUAAGUCCUGCAACGAGCGCAACCCUUGUCUUUAGUUGCCAACACGUAAUGGUGGGAACUCUAGAGAGACUGCCGGUGAUAAACCGGAGGAAGGUGGGGACGACGUCAAGUCAUCAUGGCCCUUACGCCCAGGGCUACACACGUGCUACAAUGGUCGGUACAAAGGGCUGCAAUACAGUGAUGUGGAGCGAAUCCCAAAAAGCCGGCCUCAGUUCGGAUCGGAGUCUGCAACUCGACUCCGUGAAGUUGGAAUCGCUAGUAAUCGCGUAUCAGAACGACGCGGUGAAUACGUUCCCGGGCCU
rnacentral:rRNA from 1 species